rnacentral:rRNA from 1 species
UUGACCUCGGAUCAGGUAGGAAUACCCGCCGAACUUAAGCAUAUCAAUAAGCGGAGGAA